AAAGCGAUGGCGGAAUGGCUAUUUGCUAGCUGACUCGUGCUCGUCCUUCUGGGCUCAAUUGUUACAUGACUACUCCAGGGGAGCCCCUCAAGCCAGAAUAUGCGUACCCCAAGUCAGUGACCUCACUUCAUAUACUUAUUUAUCCUUACAGUCCUGGUGUGCUAAGGGAUGCUUGGUUCAAUGUUCUUUCUCUAUAUAUGUCUAUCUGUCUUUCUCUUUUCUUUUCCUUUUUUUUUCUUUUUUGUCUUUUGUUUUUUUUUUUUUUUUUUUUUUCGAGACAGGGUUUCUCUGUAUAGCCCUGGAUGACCUGGAAAUCACUCUGUAGACCAGGCUGGCCUCGAACUCAGAAAUCUGCCUGCCUCUGCCUCCCAAGUGCUGGGUUUAAAGGCGUGUGCCACUACCACCUGGCUUCUUUUCUUUUCUUUUUUUUUUUUUUUUUUUUGUUUUUUUGUUUUUUUUUUGGGACAGUGUUUCUCUGUGUAGCCCUAGCUGUCUAGCUGUACUGGAACUCGACCUAUAGACCAGGCUGGCUUCAAACUCAAAGAGAUCCACCUGCAUCUGCCUCUCUUGUGCUGGGAUUAAAGGUGUGGAUCACCACACCCCGUGUCAAUGUCUGCAGGUCUUCAAGGCCUUCAAUAUCUACUAGUUCCUCCCUGGGUCGAGGUGUCUAACCUUUCUAGCUUCAGCUUUCUAGUUCAUAAGCUAUAAUAGUCACUCUGAUUGAUAACUGCUAAGCAAUGUCUGCUACAUGCAAAGUGUUGUACAAUUUUGAAAAGCAUUCCUUUAGAAAUGUGAAUAUGUCACUUGUCAUCUAGCCAGAAAUUGGGGUCAUAACAACGGAUGACACAGGAUGAUAUCUCAUCCUUCCCCAGAGAAGUGUGAAUACAGAAACAAAUGAGGCAGAAAGCUACUCUGGGCACACGGCCUCCUGGAAUUUGCAGAGACCCAACUUCUUGGCUUCUAGGUUCUUGUUUAGUUCUGUUUUCAAAUGGGGUUUGAAAUGGCUGUUAGCUGAGGCUAGCCCUGAUCUAUUGUUCGUCCUGUCUCCAGCUCCCAAAUGCUGGGGUACAGGUAUGUGCCUGGCUGAUGCCCUGCUGAGGGUCAAGCUCAGGGCUUUGUGUAUGCUAGGCAAGCCCUCCACCAGCUAAGUUUCUAGACCUUUCUCUGGACCUUCCACUGAGAUUUUUUUUUGUUGUUGUUAUUUUUUGUUUUGUUUUGUUUGUUUGUUUUUUCGAGACAGGGUUUCUCUGUGUAGCCCUGGCUGUCCUGGAACUCACUCCGUAGACCAAGCUGGCCUCGAACUCAGAAAUCCGCCUGCCUCUGCCUUCCAUGUGCUGGAAUUAAAGAUGUACACUGCUAUACCUGGCUUCCUCUUGGCCUUUUGCUUUUAGGUUUUUUUUUUUGUUUUUUUUUUUGUUUUGUUUUGUUUUGUUUUGUUUUGUUUUUUUGGUUUUUCAAAAUAAGGUUUCUCUGUGUAGCCCUGGCUGUCCUGGAAUUCACUUUGUAGACCAGGCUGGCCUCAAACUCUGAAAUCCACCUGCCUCUGUCUCUCAAGUGCAGGGAUUAAAGGCGUGCGCCUCCACGCCCGGCUUGCUUUUAGUUUUUAAACUUAAGGCAGGGUUUUGCAAUGUGGGCUGCGCAUUCACUAUGGUUGGGAUGGUCUCCAGGCCUAACAACCUUUACUGUGGCUUUGUUCUCCUCAGGAGACUGUCCUGUCUACCCCUUUUCUCUUUUCCAGGGAUUUAGUCUGGAAUCUCAGCCAUGUCCUUGUCUGGGGUUGGGGGUCUCCUGUUUGAUGGCUUCAGAAGCUAUCUUCUGCUAGAUCUGAGUGGCAUGGACCUCUCUGCUCUAAGGGCAUACCCAUUGCUUCCUUCACUCCAGACUCCUAUUCACCCAGCCUCAUUGCCAGUUCUGGAACACUAAAUGCAGCAGGACUAGCCCCACCUUCCAAGUGUGCUGAAGCCCACUGUAGCUGGACAGAGCUGUUCUUCCCCAUAUCAUCCAUCCACCAAGGACUUGGAGACUCCAGCACCAUGCUGUUUGCUUCUAGUUCUACCUUGUGUUAAUGUCAACGUCACUUCUUUUUUUUUUUUUUUUUUUUUUUUUGGUUUCUCUGUGUAGCCUUGGCUAUCCUAGAACUCACUUUGUAGACCAGGUUGGCCUCGAACUCAGAAAUCCGCCUGCCUCUGCCUCCGGAGUGCUGGAGUUAAAGGCGUGCACCACCACGCCCGGCUGUCAACAGUCACUUCUAAAACCACCUUUCUCUGUCCUGUUUGGCCUCUGGAGCCCUCAUCAUCUCUCCCCCAGAUGAUUGGAUGGCCUGCUUGGGUCUCCCUGGCUACAGACUGCCUCCCCUUCAAACAAAGGGUCCUGCAAAGGUCUGCCUUAACAUAGCCCUGCCCUUUGUUUUCAAGGGAAGCACCUAGUCGCUCAAGAAGGCUUCAGGACCUCCCAGGCUGUCAGGGCACCACCAGGGCUGCCUUCCCAUCUUGUCACAAAUCAGGUGUCUUUACUGUCCAGAGGCCCUAACCCAAAGCCUUUUCAAGUCCUUGGCAUCAAGGCUAGGUCUGUCUUAUUGUAGAGGCCUCUCUAGAAAUCUCCUGUUCUGUCUACUGUCAGCUCCUGCAGGAAGCUCUUAGCCUUUGGCAGCAGCAUGCCAUCAUGAGGAAGGUUGGCCUCACCACGCCUGGCAGUGGAGGACUGGGGAUAAUGCCCCUAUUUCAGGGAACUGAGAUCCUGGAACUGAAGUGACUUGGCCCAUGGAGCCCAGCAGUGGUACAGGGUGAGGUCUAGGUGGCUGGGUGUUCAGCACUCUUGGGGUUCUUGCCCUAGACUCCUAACAUCCCCAGCCCCUCUGUCCUGACCCAUGUCAAGUCUCCAGCUUCGUCUGACAUCCAGUUUCUGAGGGACUAACCCUCUUCCCACUUCUGCUUUCACAGCCUCUUUGGGCCCUGCUUCCGGCAGUUCCCUUCUGUCUCAACCCUGUUAUUUGGCUGUGUUGGGGCUUGUCCUGCUCAGUCACUCUGGUCCGUCUUGGACUGCAUACACAUAGAGGGUUGGGUGGGUCUAGAAAACCUGCCUUCUAUCCCUGUCCCAAUUCCAGAGGCCUAGGACCCACACUCAUGGUGAGAUGCCUUCUGUCUCUGGCUAUCGGGAGCUCAUGGUGGGAUGUCUUCCGGCUCUGACUAUCGGGAGCUCAUGGUGGGAUGUCUUCCGGCUCUGACUAUCGGGGCUUUCCUGCCAUCCUCCCAGGAAGUGAUAACUCUCAUUCUCUGCUGGUAAAGUUGAUGAGAAGCCUCAUGGGGCCUUCUGGGUGACUGAUAUCGCCCUAGCCUACUCUGCCGUAACUUCCUGUGGGGGCAGGGCCUCUCACCCACUGUCAGCAGCCUGCCAAGUGGUUUGCUGGGGAGGAAAUUUAGGAGAGUAGGUGCCAGGUCCCCAGGAACCUCCUAGCCAUCCCUCAGGAACAUAAUAAGCCUCGGCACAGGCAAGACACACAGGGGACCAUGUUGUCUGUCUCUUGGAGACUAGACAGAACCAGUAGGAGCUGGAGGAAGUAUGGAGAGGGGAAGUUGAAGAAAUACCUUCUUUGGAACCAAAUAAUUAAAGACUGUUGCCUGAGUCACUGUGACAAGGUUAUGAGUAGAGGCGAGAAUGGCCUAGAAAAGCCAGGGAGAGCUGUCAUGACUGGAUACAUAGGGUCACGGGGACUCACUGAUUUCCUCCACGAUCUUCAGAAGUACCCCACCAAUGUGCGACUCCCCCGUGACUCGGAGUGUGACAGACUGGGCCUCAGGGUCCUCCUCGCCCACAAACACCCUCAGCUCCCAGGAAGAGUCGAUAUAGUCCCCGGAGGCUGUCUUCAUACCCGCCAUGGCUGCGGCUGUUUCUGCUGAGACAAGGUGACUGAGAAGAUGGCUCAGCAGUCAGGACCACUCUCUGCUCUUCCAGAGAACCAAUUCCCAGCACCACAUGACAGUUCACAGCUGUCUAUACUUCAAGAUCUGACACCCUCACUCAAGACAUGCACGCAGGCAAAACAGCAAUGCAGACAUUAAAACAUUUUUGUGUAUGAGUGUUUUGCAUGCACAUGUCUGCAUACUAUUGCAUAUGCUUGCAUGCAUGUCUGAUGCCCAGAGAGGACAGAAGAGGGCAUCUCAUUCCCUGUAUCUGGAGUUACCAAUGGUCGUGCUGGGAAUCAGAACUGGAUCCUUUGGAAGAACAACUGCUGGCAUCCUUCUAAGCUCUCUCCUUCUACCAUGUCGAUCUCAAUGAUGUUAAGCUUAGCAGCAAAUGCUUUUUCCUCACUGACCCUCUGAUGUAUUUAUUUUAACUUAUUUUUUUUUCCUUUCAGGCACUAUUGCCCAGGUGGGACUCAAAGCUUCUGUGGUAUUGAAUAGGUAUGACCCCUACAGAUUCAUGUGUUUAAAUGCCUGGCCACAGGGAUUGGCACUACUAGGAGGUGUGGCCUUGUUAGAGGAAGUGUGUCACUGUGGAGGUGGCGCUUUGAGGUCUUAAUAUGCCCAAGUUCUGCCCAGUGUGAAACACGCAGUCUCCUUCUUUUUUUUUUUUUUUUUUUAAAGAUUUAUUUUUAUUCAUUAUAUGUGAGUACACCGUAGCUGUCUUCAGACACUCCAGAAGAGGGCGUCAGAUCUCAUUAUGGAUGGUGUGAGCCACCAUGUGGUUGCUGGGAUUUGAACUCUGGACCUUUGGAAGAGCAGUCGGGUGCUCUUACCCACUGAGCCAUCUCACCAGCCCCCCAGUCUCGUUCUAACUGCCUUCAGAUCAAGAUGUCAAAGUGUUGGCUCCUCCUGUAUCAUGUCUGCCUGCAUGCUGCUGUGUCUAUCAUAAUGGAUGAAACCUCUCAAACGGCAAGCCAGCCCCAAUUAAAUGCCUGUCUUUUAUAAGA